GAUGAACGCUAGCGAUAGGCUUAACACAUGCAAGUCGAGGGGCAGCGAGGGUGGCAAUACCUGUCGGCGACCGGCGCACGGGUGAGUAACGCGUAUGUAACCUGCCCGCAACAGGGGGAUAACCCGGCGAAAGUCGGACUAAUACCGCAUAAAACAGGGGUCCCGCAUGGGAAUAUUUGUUAAAGAUUUAUCGGUUGCGGAUGGGCAUGCGUACCAUUAGGUAGUUGGUGAGGUAACGGCUCACCAAGCCUUCGAUGGUUAGGGGUUCUGAGAGGAAGGUCCCCCACACUGGUACUGAGACACGGACCAGACUCCUACGGGAGGCAGCAGUGAGGAAUAUUGGUCAAUGGGCGAGAGCCUGAACCAGCCAAGUCGCGUGAAGGAUGACUGCCCUAUGGGUUGUAAACUUCUUUUACAAGGGAAUAAAAUGAGAUACGUGUAUUUUAUUGCAUGUACCUUGGGAAUAAGCAUCGGCUAACUCCGUG
rnacentral:rRNA from 1 species